UCGGACGUGGUGCAUGGUGCACGCCCUCCUACCCUGACCAAGGAAACCCACCAAUAAGUUGGAGGGAAGCCGGGGUUCGACUCCCCGUGUCCGAA